rnacentral:sRNA from 1 species
GCCAGGCUCAGUAGAGUGUCUGUAGUCUCAGCUACUGGGGAGGCUGAGGCAGGAGGACUGCUUGAGCCCAGGAGUUUGAGGUCAGCCUGGGAAACACAGCAAGAUUCUGAUUCAA